CUGGCUUGAAUUUUUAAUUUUUAAAUUAUUUUAUAUGCAAAUUUUUGUGUGAGUAGGUUAUAUUUUAAAAAGAUAUAUUUAGUAUAUUUGUUUAUAAAUUCGCAAUAUCGAAGCUUAAAAAUAAAAGAAAUUUUGAUUUAGGAAUUUAUAAUAAUACUGGCAAAGUUUGUGCCAGCAGCUGCGGUUAAACAAAUGGUGUAAUUAAAUAAGUUCGGUUUGUAAUUAAUUUAAAUUUAUUAGUAGUUUUAGUUUAAAUUUAUUAAGUGAAAUUUUUAAUUUUAGUACAAGCUAUAUAGUAAGAAAUGAGGUUACGAAAUUUUUUAUAUAAACUAGGAUUAGAUACCCUAUUAUUGAAAAUUUAAAUUAUAAUACUGGAGUAGUAGUAGUUAUGUUCUUGAAAUUCAAAGAAUCUGGCGGUAUUUUAGUCUAUUCAGAGGAACCUGUCCUAUAAUUGAUAGUCCACGAUUAAUUGUACUUAUUUUAAAGGUUUGUAUAUCGUCGUAGGUUGAAUGUUCUAAAAGGAUUUAAAAUGUUCAAUAAUUACAAUAGGUAGAAAAAAUCAGAUCAAGAUACAGCGUAUAGAUGAGAAGAGAUGGGUUACAAUAAAUUUAUUUAGAUGGUUAAUAUAUUUAACAUUAUAUUAUAAAGCGGAUUUGAUAGUAAUAUAAUUAAUUUAGAUUAUAUGAUUUUAGCUCUAAAAUAUGUACAUAUCGCCCGUCGCUCCCGUUUUAAGAUGGGAUAAGUCGUAACAAAGUAGGCGUACUGGAAAGUGUGCCUGGUUAGG
rnacentral:ncRNA from 1 species